CUCUCUCUCUCUCAGACACUCAAAUUCAUGCAGACUCCUUGGUCCUUAUGUAUGCAUAUAGUUGCCUCAUGUUAAAGCUACAUGACAGACAUGAAUGACAGGAGCAUAUGUGCUCAAGCAGCUGGGAUGGGGUGGGGGAGGAAAGAAAGAGAAAGGAAGAAGAGAAGGAGAGGAAAUAAAGAGACUAGAGAGAAAGUGAUGCAUGGAGGAUGUAGAGAGGAGAGGAGGAAAAAGUGAAAAGUACCAGAACAUCAGCAUCUGCUGCUACACCCAGAUAUAACAGCUAGAAUGGUGCUGGAGGGAAUAGCAGCCAUUUUACGGACUCUUGAUCAAUUGUGCUAUUUUGUGUGUGUUUUUUGACCAAAAAAAGCUUCUGGACGUCAGAACAGAGAUCGCUAACCUCGAUUUGGAUGAGGAUUUCUACUUCAAUGAGUCGGUGGCAAAGGACAUACUGCUCAUCCCGAACCAGGCCCAAAUCCCCGACCUUCGAAAAAGGAUGAGGUGGCGUUAUAGAGGUGGGCGUGCGGGAUACCUGACGAGACUACAUCGGACUACGAGACUAUUGACGAAUGUGCAAUCACUGGAGAAUAAACUGGGACCUAUCAUGGUCCAAACAUACCAACACAGUCGUGAAAAGGGCACGACAAUGCCUCUUCCCCCUCAGGAGGCUGAAAAGAUUUGGCAUGUGCCCUAAAAUCCUCAAAAAGUUAUACAGCUGCAUUAUUGAGAGCAUCUUGACUGGUAUGGCAACUGCUUGACAUCCGACUGUAAGGCACUACAGAGGGUAGUGCGUAUGGCCCAGGACAUCACUGAGGACGAGCUCCCUGACAUCUAGAACCUCUAUACCAGGAGGUGUCAGGGGAAGGCCCGUAAAAAUGGUCAAAGACUCCAGCCACCCAAGUCAGAUUGUUCUCUCUGCUACCGCAUGGCAAGCAGUACCGGAGCGCCAAGUCUGGGACCAAAAGGCUCCUGAUCAACUUCUACCCCAAACCAUAAGACUGCUGAACAGUUACUUCCCAGACAGAAUCCGUCAAUUUAAGCUAUAGAUAUCUCUUUGUUUGCAUGGGCUGCAUCCGCAUCCGCCUAUGUCAACCUUCCGCAUCUGCGGUGGAAGGUAGCCGAGCUACAGCGGUGUUUAUCAGACCUCUGACAACAUGGAAAUCGGUCAUCUGACAAAAAUGUCUGGAGCAUCCGAAAGGUUUGGCAAACUAAUGGAACAACUCUAUGGAAAUAUGAGACUCUCAUGAACAUGAUGCUGUUCUCUGUUUUGCUCUACGACCCCCACAAGUGUCACAGAACUCAUCUGAAGGACCUGAGCCCUAGGACCAUGCCCCAGGACUACCUGACAUGAUGACUCCUUGCUGUCCCCAGGCCACCUGGCCAUGCUGCUGCUCCAGUUUCAACUGACCUGAGCCCUAGGACCAUGCCCCAGGACUACCUGACAUGAUGACUCCUUGCUGUCCCCAGUCCACCUGGCCAUGCUGCUGCUCCAGUUUCAACUGUUCUGCCUUACUAUUAUUCGACCAUGCUGGUCAUUUAUGAACAUUUGAACAUCUUGGUCAUGUUCUGUUAUAAUCUCCACCCGGCACAGCCAGAAGAGGACUGGCCACCCCACAUAUGCUCUCUCUAAUUCUCUCUUUCUUUCUCUCUCUCGGAGGACCUGAGCCCUAGGACCGUGCCCCAGGACUACCUGACAUGAUGACUCCUUGCUGUCCCCAGUCCACCUGACUGUGCUGCUGCUCCAGUUUCAACUGUUCUGCCUUAUUAUUAUUCGACCAUGCUGGUCAUUUAUGAACAUUUGAACAUCUUGGCCAUGUUCUGUUAUAAUCUCCACCCUGCACAGCCAGAAGAGGACUGGCCACCCCACAUAGCCUGGUUCCUCUCUAGGUUUCUUCCUAGGUUUUGGCCUUUCUAGGGAGUUUUUCCUAGCCACCGUGCUUCUACACCUGCAUUGCUUGCUGUUUGGGGUUUUAGGCUGGAUUUCUGUACAGCACUUUGAGAUAUCAGCUGAUGUACGAAGGGCUAUAUAAAUAAAUUUGAUUUGAUUUGAUAAUAUCCCCAAAAUCUAAAAUACACAUAAAAGUGGCAUGGACAAUUUCCUUCCUAUUAACAAAAGUCAGACAUGAUUUGUUUCUGUAAAAUAAAUCAACUUCAACUUCUU